rnacentral:rRNA from 1 species
GAUGAACGCUGGCGGCGUGCUUAACACAUGCAAGUCGAACGAUGAAGCCCAGCUUUCUGGGUUGUUUAGUGGCGAACGGGUGAGUAACACGUGAGUAACUUGCCCUUCACUCUGGGUUAAGCCUGUUAAACUGGGUCUAAUACCGGCCAGGUGCUCCUACCGCACGGUGGGUGUUGGAGAGAUUUAUCGGUUUUGGAUGGCCUCGCGGCCUAUCCGCUUGUUGGUGAGGUAAUGGCUCACCAAGGCGAAGACGGGUAGCCGACCUGUGAGGGUGACCGGGCACAAGAGGACUGAGACACGGAGCAGAAUGGUACGGGAGGCAGCAGGGGGGAGUAUUGCACAAUGGGCGAAAGCCUGAUGCAGCGACGCUGGGAGAGGGAUGACGGCUUACGGGGUGUAAACAUAUGUCAGUAGGGAAGAAGCGAAAGUGACGGUACCUGCAGAAGAAGCACCGGCUAACUACGUG